CCUACGGGAGGCAGCAGUGAGGAAUAUUGGUCAAUGGCCGGAAGGCUGAACCAGCCAAGCCGCGUGAGGGAGGAAGGUGCCGAGCGUUGCAGACCUCUUUUGCCGGGGGACAAAAGGCCGCUCUCGUCCGGUCCUGAGGGUACCCGGAGAAAAAGCAUCGGCUAACUCCGUGCCAGCAGCCGCGGUAAUACGGAGGAUGCGAGCGUUAUCCGGAUUCAUUGGGUUUAAAGGGUGCGCAGGCGGGCCGUUAAGUCAGCGGUGAAAUGGCGGGGCUCAACCCCGGCGGGCCGUUGAAACUGGGGGCCUUGAGUGGGGCGGAGGCAUGCGGAAUGCGCGGUGUAGCGGUGAAAUGCAUAGAUAUCGCGCAGAACCCCGAUUGCGAAGGCAGCGUGCCGGGCCGCCACUGACGCUGAGGCACGAAAGCGCGGGGAUCGAACAGGAUUAGAUACCCCAGUAGUC
rnacentral:rRNA from 1 species